GAGUAUAUCUUCUCCACUCGAACGUUCUGGGAGGUUUUCCGAUGAUUUUUGGGUGAUUUUUCGGUGACCUAUCGGCUUCUAGCGUUUCUGGUGGUUUAACCUACAGUUUUACUGCUUUCCGGUGGCUCGAUUCUCACUCAGUGGAUGUUUUGAGUUCCUUUCUGACAUCACUGACCACACUUCCAGUAAGGAUUUUGAAGGUUACACCUAGGGUUUUGUACCUAGGGUUUUCUCUGUUGUUUGAAG
rnacentral:lncRNA from 1 species